rnacentral:piRNA from 1 species
AGCAUGGGAUAGGGAUAUG